GCAAAUUCUGCCAUUAACCAUGUGGCAGUCAGGAGCAUUCAUGGCAAAAAAAUGAAAUACCAUAUUUUUCGGUGUAUAAGACUCACCGUUUUACCUCAAAAAACAGGGUGAAAAUCUGGGUGCGUCUUAUAUGCCAAAUGUAGCCCUGCCCAGAAAGCUGUGCGUGUGCAAAGAUGGUGGCAGCAACCGGAGGUCUUUUCGGCAUCCUGCGCAAGUGGAUGGGUGGAAAAGAAGCCUCUCAGCUUCCAAGUUCAGCAGCAGGCUCGGUCCCUUCACAGGGUCACUUUUUUCUGCACCCGAGAAAGAUCAAAAGUUGCGGAGCAACCUUUAAGGAGAAAGUUGGGAUAGCUGCCUAGACGAGGUAUAUUCGAUUCAUUGCUUCUUCCUCCUCCCAAUUUUCAUCAUUCUCAGAAACCUCCAUGGCCCAAUCAGGUUCUGUUGAGUGCGAUGGACUCCACUUGUCUUUCAGAUGUCGGCAGCAGAGUCAUCAGACGCUUCUGCAGCUCUGGCUUCCUCGACCACAUCUUUAAAGAUUAGCCAUUUGCAGCAGGCAUGCAAAUGGGUGCUCCGUACGUCCCUACAGAACUACAGUGGCCUCCAUAAUUCUCAAACAAAAAAACCAGGACUCCUCUAAGAGCUGGUCGCUCAGUCAAACUGAGCAAUUGGGGAAGAAGGACUUUAGUAACAAAGGUGACCAAGAACCUGAUGGUCACUCUGAUUGAGCCCCAGAGAUCCUGUGUGGAGAUGGGACAGAGUUCCAGAAGUACAACCGUCACUGCAGCCCUCCACUGAUCUGGGCUUUAGGGCAGAGUGACUAGACAGAAAUCUCUCCUCAGUAUAAAACACAUGAAAGCCCAUUUGGAGUUUGCAAAAAGGCACCUGAAGGACUCUCAGACUGUAAGGAACAAGAUUUUCUGACCUGAUAAAACCAAGAUUGAACUGUUUGGUCUCAAUUCUAAAUGUAAGGUCUGGAGGAAACCAGGCACCGCUCAUCACCUGCUCAAUAUCAUCCCAAAAGUGAAGCAUGGUGGUAGCAGCAUCAUGCUCUGGGGGUGUUUCUUAGCAGCAGGGACUGGGAGACUGGUCAGGGUUGAGGGAAAGCUGAAUGGAGCAAAGUACAGGAAUAUCCUCAAUGAAAACCCAUUGGGAAAGAGAACCUAAACACUAAGUACAAGCUUGAGGGACAUUACCUUACAGAUGACCUCCACCCUGUUAAAGACCUUGGAGUUUUCAUAUCAAAUGAUUUAUGUGCCAAAGCCCUCUGCAACUACAUAGCAAAAAAGGCUCUAAGAGUUGUAAACCUAAUUUUACGCAGCUUCUUUUCCAAAAACUCUACACUACUAACCAGAGCUUACAAAACAUUUGCUAGACCUAUUCUUCAAUACAGCUCACCUGUCUGGAACCCAUAUCACAUCUCUGACAUUAAUACAAUUGAACGCAUCCAGAACAGAGGUGGGUUUCAGCAGGUUCUGACCAGUUCUGGAGAACCGGUAGCGGAAAUUUUGAGUAGAUCGGAAAAUUGGUAGUAAAAAUUCUGACUGGCCCCGCCCCCAUCUAUUCUCUGCCUCCCAAGCCCCAGCUGAUCGAGAGGAAAUGGGAAUUUUUGCAGUAACCUUCCCCUGGAGUGGGGUGGGAAUGGAGAUAUUAUAGUAUCCUUCCCCUGGAGUGGGGUGGGAAUGGAGAUUUUACAGUAUCCUUCCCCUGCCAUGCCCACCAAGUCAUGCCCACCAAGCCAUGCCAUGCCCACCAGGCCAUACCCACAGAACCGGUAGUAAAAAAAAUUGAAACCCACCACUGGUCCAGAAAUAUUUUACAAGAAGAGUUCUCCACUCCUCUGAAAACAACAAAAUACCUUAUACCACCAGACUUGAAAUCCUGGGAAUACAAAACUUAGAACUCCGCCGACUCCGACAAGACCUGUGUUUAACACACAGAAUCAUCUAUUGCAAUGUCCUUCCUGUUAAAGACUACUUCAGCUUCAAUCGCAAUAAUACAAGAGCAAACAAUAGAUUCAAACUUAAUGUUAACGCUUCAAUCUUGAUUGCAGAAAAUAUGACUUCUGUAACAGAGUUGUUAAAGCUUGGAACGCACUACCUGACUCUAUGGUCUCUUCUCAAAAUCCCCAAAACUUCAACCAAAAACUGUCCACUAUUGAGCUCACCCCAUUCCUAAGAGGACUAUAAGGGGCGUGCAUAAGAGCACAAAAGUGCCUACCGUUCCUGUCCUAUUGUUCCCUUUCAUUAUAUCAAAUUAAUAUAGUUGUUGCAUACUUUUGCUUAUAUAUAUGUUUAUAUGAUGUGUUGUUGCUUUAUGUUGAUGUUUGUGUAUACUGUUGUGACAAAAUAAAAAUAAAUAAAUAAAUAAAAAACCCUGCUCCACAGUGCUCAGGACCUCAGACUGGACUAAAGGUUCAUUUCCAACAUGACAAGGAUCCUAAGAACACAGGCAAGACAACAUAGGAGUUUACGGACAACCCUGUGAAUGUCCUAGAGUGGCCCAGACAGACCCCUGACUUGAACCCUAUUGAUCAUCUCUAGAGGGACCUGAAAAUGGCUGUCCAUCAACAGUCACCAUCCAACCUGACUGAGCUUGAGAGGAUUUGCAAAGAAGUAUGCCAGAAAAUCCCCCAAUCCAGAUGUGCAAAGCUUUGUCACGUCAUACCCAAAAAGACCCAAGGCUGUAAUUGCUGCCAAAGGUGCUUCAACAAAGUUCUGGGUGAAGGGUCUGAAUACUUAUGCCAAUGUGAUAUUUCAGGUUUUUUUUCCUUUUUAAUACAUUUACAGACAUUUCUAAAAUUCUGUUUUUACU